ensembl:snoRNA SNORA50A Small nucleolar RNA SNORA50
UGGCACUGUCUUUGAACCUUUGAAGCCCUCCUCAUGGCUCCAUAGGCCAAGCAACAGUGCAAAAUUAAAGGCUUGUUAUAACUGGGGCUUCUUGGCAUCACAGCCCAAGUUGCUCUUUUAAAUGCAAGCUACAAUU